GGUCUUGUAGUGUAGUGGUUAUCACUCAGGAUUUUGAUUCCUGAAACCCAGGUUCGAACCCUGGCAAGACCU
rnacentral:tRNA from 1 species